rnacentral:rRNA from 1 species
UUGGCAAUAGAUCGUCAGCAGGCUAAGGGACACCGAUAAGUGAGCCACCUGGGGAGUACGGUCGCAUACGAUUGAAACUCAAAGGAGUUGACGGGGGCCCUGCACAAUCGGAGGAACAUGUGGUUUAAUUCGAUGAUACGCGACGGAACCUUACAUGGGCUUAAAUGUAGAGUGCAUAAAGUGGAAACAUUGGGAUCCUUCGGGACGCUGUACAAGGUGCUGCAUGGUUGUCGUCAGCUCGAGCCGUGAGGUGUCGGGUUAAGGCGCAUAACGAGCAGCAACCCCUAUCGUUAGUUACCAGCACGUAGUUGCUGGGGACUCUAGCGAGACUGCCUGGUGUAAACCGUGAGGAAGAUGGGGAUGACGUCAAAUCAGCACGGCCCUUAUGUCCAGGGCUACACACGUGUUACUAUGGUCGGUACAGUGGGCAGCACACAUAGCAAUAUGGAACUAAUCUCGUCACACGAUGUCAGUUCGUAUUCGAGUCUGCUACACGACUCCAUGAUCGGUGAUUCUGCUAGUAUUAGAGUAUCACCCAUAAUACGUUGAAUACGUUUCAGGCACUUGUACACUCCACCCCUCAAGCCAUGAAAGUUUGGGGUGCAUGAAGUUCGUACUAGUAAGGAGCUCUCUAAGGUAAACUAUAUGACUGAGCUAAGUCGAACAAAG